ACGUAGGCGGCAAUCUUUCUCCGGAGUUACUGGUCGUAAAGGUCGUUCAGGCGGUUUUCUAAGUUCGUUUUUAAAGCGCCCAUUCUUAACCGGGCUAUUACAAUGAAGACUGGUCAGCUAGAGGACGGUAGAGGGGUGUGGAAUUCCGGGUGUAGUGGUGAAAUGCGUAGAGAUCCGGAGGAACACCAGAGGCGAAGGCGACACCCUGGGCCUGGCCUGACGCUCAGACGCGAAAGCAUGGGGAGCGAACGG
rnacentral:rRNA from 1 species